rnacentral:rRNA from 1 species
UACAGAGGUCUCAAGCGUUUGUUCGGAUUCAUUGGGCGUAAAGGGUGCGUAGGUGGCAUGGUCAGUCUGAUGUGAAAGCCCGGGGCUCAGCUCCGGAAGGGCGUCGGAAACUAGCCAGCUGGAGCGCGGUAGAGGAGAGUGGAAUUCCUGGUGUAGAGGUGAAAUUCGAUAGAUAUUCGGAAGAACACCAGUGGCGAAGGCGACUUACUGGACACAUAUUGACGCUGAGGUGCGAAAGCGUGGGGAGCAAACAGG